GGGAGAUUGAUGUCUUUCUGUCCUGCUCACGGUACAGUUCCACAGCGUUCUGACCAUGUGGUAACCAGUCAAAGGGAGAGAAAUUUACUGCUUCAUAACAAUUAAAUCCACUAUCAAACUCUGCAUGGUAUGCUCCAGGGAGUAUGAGAACAAACUCCUUUGGAUUUUGCACACAACGAUAAACAGGUAUACCCUCUGAAGUCAAUAUAGAAGGAGAG
rnacentral:misc_RNA from 1 species